CAAAGAACCAUGUUAUUUGGAUAUCCCUAUAUUAAUAUUCGAUGAUAUUUUGCAUGAACCCGCGCUUUUGAUAGGAUAGUUUCAAUUUUGACAUAAUAAUAUUCUCUGCAUUUAUUCGUUGUCGGUUCUUGAAACAUUUAACGUUUUAUUCAUUUUAUUUUAUUUUGAAGAAGGAUAGAAUAUCUUGAGUUUCAUCACUUUCAUCAGUCUUUAGUGUGGCAUCAUUUGUUGCAUCGUUUUCAAUCUUGGGUGAUUUUCUACUUUAUAACGAGUUCUUUUGUUCAGGAAAUCGUUAUUAACAAUUAAAAUGACUUCCACAAGUUUCAAUGUUGGCGUUGAUGUUGAAGCCAAAAGUUCAAGUAGGGUGCUCCGUCCUCCAGGUGGUGGUCACACCGAUAUUUUUGGAGUAAAGGAACCCAUUGUCCCUGAAGUUCGUAAAGAAGAUAAUAAGAGAAAUGCAUCUUCAAUUUUAGAAGGAACUAAUACUCAAGCUAUUCAAAAUGCCAACUCCCAAAUAACAAAAACUGAAGAAAAGUCUACUCAAGAGAGCUCUCCAAAAGAAAUUGGGGAAUUGCCUACAAAUCAAGUAGAUCAAUCAGCACAAAAAAAAAGAGUGCCGCCUGGAGGAUUCUCUUCUGGUCUUUGGUAAAGGUUUUACAUUUAAUUCCUAGCCAUUCUAUCUGGAUCUUAUCAAUGGUGCGAGAAUUUUAUUUGAGUUACUUAUUUAAAAGAUUAUCUUUGUAUAUUGGUUGUUAAUAUUGUACGACUCAACCAGUAAGUUUUAUAAUAACUUUUAAAAAUGAAUGUACUUAAAAGUAUUCAAAAUAGUGAAUGAGUACUAUAUAACUCUUCAAGCAAUUUAAAUAUCCAUAUUUUUUGAUAUGCCACAUUUUAUCUAGUGUGAAAUAAAGGAAAAGUACAUUAA